rnacentral:rRNA from 1 species
AUGGCGCGCCUCGCCACCAUCCUCAGCUUUGGGGACCACGCCGAGGAGGGCACCGACGCCUUCCCAGAGCCGCAGGAGGACUACCAGCAAGAACACGACAACGACGACGACGCAGCGUCAGACGCCAGCGGCGACAACUUCGAGUUCGCGUUCGCGCGGCCACUGGCGCCGGCGGGCAGGGAGGCGCUGGCCGACGACCUCUUCGCGCACGGCAGCAUCCUCCCGGCCUACCCGGUCUUCCACCGCCGCCAGGCCCACGGAGACGAUGCCUUGGCCUCGGCUACCUCCAUGAUGGCGCCGCCCUCGCCGGACACGUACUGCGCGUGGGCGCCGCGGUCCGCGCCAGGGUCGCCCAUGCGCGAGCCGGCUGCCUUCCCCAAGAGCGCGUCCACGGGCACGGGCGAGGCCGCGUGCCGGUUCCGCCUGGGCGACAUCCUCGGCUCCGGCGGCCGCUCCCACAACAACGGUAAGGAGAAGUUCCUCUUCCUCCAGCCGACCCUCGCCAAGCCCAAGCCCAGGACCAGCGCAUUAUGCGCCGCCGCCGGAGGAGACAACCGCGCCGCCAAGAAAACACAUGCGCAGCCGCAGCAGAAGCAGAGCAAGAAGAAGGGGGCGGCCGCCGCUCCGACGGAGAUGGACAUGGCCACCGCGCACAGGCAGUACGAAACUUCUUUAUUGCCGGGCAGUAUGAAACCCGUAUUCCACAGAAGUAGAAGGCAAAUUUGUGUUCUUUUAAAAUAA